CCACCAGCGCGGGGGCGCGGGGAGAGCCGUCGUCUGACGUGGUGCCGGCACGCAGCGUACCCCAGGAGGCUGUCCUCGUGAGGCCCCUGGCGCUGCAUCUGGCGCACAAGGUGCAUGGGCCCGGGGCCCCUUCAGCGGGGAACCGUCACCGCGGUCGCCGCAGUAGCUAUUGCCGCCGUUGCUGCGGAUCCGUUGGCCGAGGACGCCCGGGAGCAGGCAGCAGCUGACCCUAAGGAGAAGUGGCAGCUGCCGCCGCUGCCGCGGAAGGAAAAUCCCUGGAACAAAAAGGCUACCCAGCACCUGUCCCCAGCCAGGACAGGUCCGCCGCCGCCAGCGCUGGAAACCCUGGAGUCAGAGUUCGGUUCCCUCAAAAUUAUAAAAGCAGGAAAACUUAAGACAAAUUCAACAAGGCUAGUGAUUUCAACGUUAUGGAGAAUUGGCCAACACCAAGUGAAUUAGUGAACACUGGAUGUCAGAGCGUCCUCAGCCAAGGAAAUAAAAAGCCACAAAAUAGAAAAGAAAAAGAAGAGAAGGUUGAAAAGAGAAGUAAAAGAGCAAACAAAACCAGAAAACAAAAUUAAAUGGUCCUGGUGAAAAUGUCAGUGAGGUUGAGGCUCAGUCAAGUAAUCAACAAAAGACAGCUAAUAAGCACAAGUGGAGGCGAGAUAGAGAAAAAAGAGAUGAUCAAGAUGAAGUUUCCAAUGUGAGAAGUGAGGGUGGUAAUAUCCGAGGUUCCUUUACAGGCCCAGGAAGAGACUGAGGAUGGGGAAGAGGAGGAGGCAGAGGAAAUCCUCGAUUGAACUUUAUUUAUUUGGUUAUCAAGAACAUGGUGAAAGGAAUGAUCAACCAUUUCAAACAAAACUUAAUACCAGUAUGAUGUAUUACUGUGAUGAUGGUACAGGUGUAUGGGUGUAUCCUGUGGAAGAAGCAUUGGUUAAAGAGUACAUGAAGUGUCAAAUUGAAAAUUACUUCAAUGUAGAAAAUUUUGAACGAGACUACUUUCUUUGAGGAAAGAUGGAUGAACAAAGUUUCUUGCCUAUUUCCCUGAUUGCUGGUUUUCAACGUGUUCAGGCUCUCACUACAAACCUCAUCUCAUCUCUUAGAGGCACUGAAGGAUGGCAUAGAAGUAGAAAUUGUGAAUGAGAAAAAAGAUAGAACCAGAAAAGUGGCCAAUUCCAGGCCUUCCUCCUUGCAAUGUGCCACAAACAGAUUUCUCUCAACUGAUUGAUUGUCCAGAGUUUGUACCAGGCUGAGCCUUUUGCUCACAUUCAGAGUCUGCCCACAAUUCUCCAAGAAUUGGAAGCCCAUUGAACCCAAAGAAAAAUACUGAAACAAGUAUUCUUCAAACAACGUCUAGAGGGUUGUCUGCCGGUUUGCCUCACUUGGACUCAGAACCUCGGAUAGAAGUAAAAAAGAGACAUCAGCCAGCCCCAGUGAAAUUGAGGGAAUCAGUCUCUGUGCCUGAAGGAUCAUUAAAUCAGCUGUGUUCUUCAGAAGAAACAGAACAAGAAGAACUUGAUUUGUUGUUUGAUGAAGAUAUUGAACAAAUAGGAUGAAAAAAACACAUUAACUGAUUGGUCUGAUAAUGAUUCAGAUUAUGAAAUUGAUGACCAAGACUUAAACAAGAUUUUGAUUGUAACUCAGAAACCAUGUUAUGUGAAAGAACAUCCUGGAGGAGAUCAAAGAGGCAACCACAUGUCUCAGGUAAAAAUUAUGUCUGAACUUGCUAAAGUUAUCAAUGAUGGCUUAUAUUAUUAGGAACAGGAUCUAUGGUUGGAAAACAUGAAAACAAACACACAGCCAUAAAGAUGAAAAUACUAAGAACACCCUUUCUCAUAUAA